GACGAACGCUGACGGCGUGCUUAACACAUGCAAGUCGAACGAAGUGGCGAACGGGUGAGUAACGCGUAAUCAACCUGCCCUUCAGAGGGGGACAACAGUGGGAAACGACUGCUAAUACCGCAUACUGAAGGAGGGGAAUGCGUCUGAUUAGCUAGUUGGAGGGGUAACGGCCCCCCAGGGCGAUGAUCAGUAGCCGGUCUGAGCGGAUGACCGGCCACAUUGGGACUGAGACACGGCCCAGACUCCUACGGGAGGCAGCAGUGGGGACUCUUCCGCAAUGGACGAAAGUCUGACGGAGCAACGCCGCGUUAGUUAUGACGGCCUUCGGGUUGUAAAGCUCUGUUAAUCGGGACGCGGUACCGGAAUAGAAAGCCACGGCUAACUACGUGCCAGCCGCCGCGGUAAUUC
rnacentral:rRNA from 1 species